rnacentral:rRNA from 1 species
CCAAUAGCGUAUAUUAAAGUUGUUGCAGUUAAAAAGCUCGUAGUUGAAUUUCGGGAUCAAAUUGUCGGUCGUGCCUCGGUACGCACUGGUAUUAUUGGUUCCUACCUUCUGAAGAACCGCGAUGUCAUUAAUUUGGUGUCGUGGGGAAUCAGGACUGUUACUUUGAAAAAAUUAGAGUGUUUAAAGCAGGCUUACGCUUGAAUACAUUAGCAUGGAAUAAUGAAAUAGGACGUUUGAUUCUAUUUUGUUGGUUUCUAGGAUUGACGUAAUGAUUAAUAGGGAUAGUUGGGGGCAUUAGUAUUCAAUUGUCAGAGGUGAAAUUCUUGGAUUUAUUGAAGACUAACUACUGCGAAAGCAUUUGCCAAGGAUGUUUUCAUUAAUCAAGAACGAAAGUUAGGGGAUCGAAGACGAUCAGAUACCGUCGUAGUCUUAACCAUAAACUAUGCCGACUAGGGAUCGGAUGAUGUUAAUUUUUUAAUGACUCAUUCGGCGCCUUAC